UAUCUCUGUAGAGUCUGCAUAUCAAUAAGCGGAGGAAAAGAAACUAACAAGGAUUCCCUUAGUAACGGCGAGUGAAGCGGGAAGAGCUCAAAUUUGAAAUCUUCAAGGUUUUACCUUGACGAAUUGUAGUUUAAAGAAGUGUUUUCUGUUGAGUGUUUUGGUAAAAGUUCUUUGGAAUAGGACAUCAUAGAGGGUGAGAAUCCCGUAUUUGACCAUUACUUCCAGCGUUGUGAUACACUUUCAAAGAGUCGGAUUGUUUGGGAAUGCAGUCCAAAAUGGGUGGUAAAUUUCAUCUAAAGCUAAAUAUUGGCGAGAGACCGAUAGCGAACAAGUACCGUGAGGGAAAGAUGAAAAGAACUUUGAAAAGAGAGUUAAACAGUACGUGAAAUUGUCAAAAGGGAAGCGUUUGACACCAGUGUUGUUUUCUCGAAAAUCAAUUAAAAAAAGUUGGAUUUUGUAUUGUUAAGACCUUAUCAGCUUUCUGCACUCUUUUCUUGUCUUUUUUAAUGCACUUUUCGUUUAACAAGUCAACAUCAAUUUCUUUUGUUGUAAAAGAGUCAUUGGAAGGUGGCUUUCACUUCGGUGAAAGUGUUUAUAGCCUUUGGCUUCCGCAAUCGGAGAGAUUGAGGUCUGCAGCGUAGAUCCUUCGGGGCUAGAUACGUAGAUGCUAAGUUAUAGUUUUUUAUAGACAACUUGUUGACUAUAAUUAAUCAUGUAGCUUACUCGUUUGCGCUAUUUUACCUACGCUUAGGAUGUUGAUCUGUAGUGCGUGCGC
rnacentral:rRNA from 1 species